rnacentral:rRNA from 1 species
CAGAACGAACGUUAGCGGCGCGCCUAAGACAUGCAAGUCGAGCGAGAAAGGGCUUCGGCCCCAGUACAGCGGCGCACGGGUGAGUAACACGUAGGUCAUCAACCCUCGAGUGGUGGACAACCCUCCGAAAGGAGAGCUAAUACAGCAUAACGCCAGCAAUGGCCAAAGCGGGCCUCUCCAUGGAAGCUCGCGCUUGAGGAUGAGCCUGCGGCCCAUCAGCUAGUUGGUUGGGGUAACGGCCCACCAAGGCUAAGACGGGUAGCUGGUCUGAGAGGAUGAACAGCCACACUGGAACUGAGACACGGUCCAGACUCCUACGGGAGCAGCAGUCGGAAUC